rnacentral:rRNA from 1 species
AGCAGCCGCGGUAAUUCCAGCUCCAAUAGCGUAUAUUAAAGUUGUUGCAGUUAAAAAGCUCGUAGUUGAAUUUUGGGUCUGGCCGGGCGGUCCGCCCUCUGGGUGAGCACUGUUCCGACGCCGGGCCUAUCCUUCUGGUGAGUCGGCAUGUCCUUUAUUGGGUGUGUCGGGGAACCAGGACCAUUACCUUGAAAAAUUAGAGUGUUCAAAGCAGGCGUAUGCUCGAAUACACUAGCAUGGAAUAAUGAAAUAGGACGCGUGGUGCUAUUUUGUUGGUUUCUGGAACCGCCGUAAUGAUUAAUAGGGAUAGUUGGGGGCAUUAGUAUUCAAUUGUCAGAGGCGAAAUUCUUGGAUUUAUUGAAGACUAACUUCUGCGAAAGCAUUUGCCAAAGAUGUUUUCAUUAAUCAAGAACGAAAGUUAGGGGAUCGAAGACGAUCAGAUACCGUCGU